AUGCACGCAGGUGCGAUGGGGGGACUCCGAGUGCGGUCUUCCAAAACGGAAGGCCGCUUUUCUGCACUGUAAGGAGGUGCCGGAACAAGGGGUGGGCAAGACGGCUGCCAGCCGCCGCGGUAAUAGCCGCACCCCAAGUGGUAGUCAUUGUUAUUGGGCUUAAAGUGUUCGUAGCCGGACGCGUAAGUCCGCUGUGAAAUCCAUGCGCUUAACGUAUGGACAUGCAGCGGAUACUGCGUGUCUAGGAACCGGACGGCGUUGAGGCUAUUCCCGGGGUAGGGGUGAAAUCCUAAAAUCCCGGGAGGAGCACCUGUGGCGGAAGCGCUCGACGAGUACGGAUUCGACGGUGAGGAACGAAAGCCAGUGGAGCAAAGCGGAUUAGAUACCCGCGUAGUACUGGCCGUAAACAUUGUGCAUUUGAUGUCGGACAACCUCCGAGGUUGUCCGGUGCCGAAGUGAAAACGAUAAAUGCACCGCCUGGGGAGUACGGUCGCAAGG
rnacentral:rRNA from 1 species